rnacentral:lncRNA from 1 species
UUCAUUUAUGUUACAAUAUCAUUCUCAACCUCGCUUGGUCUGCAAAAAUAUAACUCAUCGUGAGCAUUUGCAGAAGUACUUUGUUGCAUUGUCUUUAUAAAUCAUGACAAAUUAUGAUUGUUGUGAUUUGGGAUUUGAAGUCAUGCCAUUAUGAUAAAUUAUGUUGUUGAUGUGAUGAUAUUGAUUUCAAGUCAUGCAAAAUUAUGUUGCU